rnacentral:rRNA from 1 species
GACAGAGGGUGCAACCGUUGUUCGGAAUUACUGGGCGUAAAGCGCGUGUAGGCUGUUCUGCAAGUCGGGUGUGAAAGCCCCGGGCUCAACCUGGGAAGUGCACUCGAAACUGCAGAACUCGAGUCCUGGAGAGGAAGGCGGAAUUCUCGGUGUAGAGGUGAAAUUCGUAGAUAUCGAGAGGAACACCGGUGGCGAAGGCGGCCUUCUGGACAGUGACUGACGCUGAGACGCGAAAGCGUGGGGAGCAAACAGG